rnacentral:rRNA from 1 species
AUGUGUCUCAUCAAUGAUAUGGUUCAAAACAUUGUCAUCGACCCAUUGCCGAAUAAACCCACAAGCUUGGCGAUGAAGUACCUUCCACUGACCUUCCUCAAUGCCCUCCGGCAUCUCAGUGGAGAACACUGGCUUCCAGUAUUCUUUCACAUACAACAAGUCCUCCAUCUUGCCCUUCCAUGCUUGAUAAUUUGUACCAUUCAAAGAUAUCAUCCUGCUGGUAUUCAUUUUCAUCUUUCACCACAAGAAACUCAGCUAUUUGCACAAGCAAACCAAGGCUCUGAUACCACUUUGUUGGGGCUGGACAGCAACAAUGCGCUGCACAAAUUCACCGGCAUGGCAAAUAUGCACACUACACAGCCCCUUCUACUUGUGAUGAACUUUGAGGACAGCUUCAACCAACAAGUAAGUAGCGGAAUAACACAAACAACAUGCACAAGUGACACAGGAUUUAACGUGGAAAAACCUCCUCAACUUGAGGAGUAA